rnacentral:rRNA from 1 species
CUACGGGGUGCUCCAGUGGGGGAUAUUGCACAAUGGGCGAAAGCCUGAUGCAGCAACGCCGCGUGAAGGAAGACGGUUUUCGGAUUGUAAACUUCUAUCAGCAGGGAAGAAAAUGACUGUACCUGACUAAGAAGCCCCGGCUAACUACGUGCCAGCAGCCGCGGUAAUACGUAGGGGGCAAGCGUUAUCCGGAAUUACUGGGUGUAAAGGGUACGUAGGCGGUUCGUUAAGUCAGAUGUGAAAGCCCGAAGCUCAACUUCGGGACUGCAUUUGAAACUGAUGAACUAGAGUACAGGAGAGGUAAGUGGAAUUCCUAGUGUAGCGGUGAAAUGCGUAGAUAUUAGGAAGAACACCAGUGGCGAAGGCGACUUACUGGACUGUAACUGACGCUGAGGUACGAAAGCGUGGGGAGCGAACAGGAUUAGAUACCCGUGUAGUC